UGCAGGUUUUCAGUCUCAAAUGCAGGUUAAACAUUGAAAGUAGCUGGCUGAUAUCAGGCAGAUGGAUGCCUGGGCUUCAUCAGACAUGUUUCGGGGUUCAGGGUGCAAUGGCUAUGAUUUCCGAGGCUAGGAGAUGUAGAAAUCAAGGCCAUCAAAGGAAACUUCUGCAGGUUUUUCUUAUUGGAAAGGAAGAUAAACGAAAAGAAGGGUAGCAGGCGUACCUUAGGCGGGCCUUCCAGUACAUUCGUGCAAUACAGUCUCGCGUUGUCAACCAGUUGGCAAUAUGUUAGAAAUGCAUUAGCAAA